GGACUCUGACUCAGCUCCUCCCUGAUGUCCACCUGUUGCGAUUUGCAAAAUCCCGAAACAGUUUGGGGGUGCAGAGGUCGCUUCCAUGAGAAGAAGGAAAUUAAAAUUUCCUCCCAGCAGGAGUGAUGGGAAGUCCAGGAUCAGAAGUUGAGGUGAGUUUUAGAAAUUUUAAUUAUUAUUUUUUGCACAGUUAUGUUUGUGGUUUGACAGACUACAAACUUACUGCUAAAAGAGUAAGUCUCCUGUAGAAUGUUGUUCCUGGAAUUGUGUGGCACAUGGCCCUAAUCAUCUGUUAAUGUAGGCCAAGUUUUUCCCUGUUGCAGUACAUUUCCUUGGUCUUUCUCGAAAUGGUUGAAGAGGAGAAGUCAAUUGCCAUUAUCCUGUAGGAGGCCGAAGGACUGAUUUACUCUAAUCAAUUUGAAACCAUGUAAAUCAUGACAUCCGAUGAAUAGUACCUUCUGGUUUCUCGUUUAAGAUUUUUUUCAUUGCCUUCCAUAUUUAAUCUUUUUCGUGGUAAAUUUCAAGAGUAUACAGUAUUAUUAACUAGAGUCAUUAUGCCGUAUCAUUUAAGAUUUAAAAGCAGUCUUCUAUAAUAGAACAAUGUGAAGAAAGAGACUCCUUCCCCUCCCCCCUCCCUUCAUCCUCCCUCUUUCUUCUUUUGUCAACGGGUGAGGAUCAGUAGUAGCUCAGAAUCCAGAAGUCACUGUUAAUUGCUAAUUGUCACAAAGUUGGCUUCUGUUCAUCUUCUGCUUUCUAGAUGUUAGCUUGUCCUUGUUGUGGCAGCAGGGGGCCAUCAUGUUUGGAUAAUUUGCUCUUCUAUUGAUCUCCUCUGUUAAUUUCCAUGAUAGUUAGCAUUUACUCAAUAUUAAUAACCGUUCUAAAAGGACAGCACCUCAUACUUAAAAGUAUGUGAUGCCACUGUGUCACUGGAUUCCACUUUUAUCUCAAAAGAGUUAUUAAAUGCUGCUGGGUCAGCUUUGACAUGCUUAGUGAGGAAAAAAAGAACAGAGAAAAUAAACCUACAUAAUGGGUCUGUGGUUAUUAAAAAAAAAAAAGCAACAUGGUUGGGGGUCUCUCAGGAAUCACACAUUUAUUUACUCUGCCUCUCACUCUACCUUUCGGACUUGUCAAAUCUUUUUCAUUUUUUCAAUUACACAUCUACGAAUCCCAAGAAAAAUAACAAACCCUAAGCCUAGAAAUCUGCUAAAAUUCUCAAAAAAGAAACAAAGUGAAAGGAAGGUGGGACAGAAACUGAAAUGACUGUUUUCAGCUCACUAUUCUGUGAGCUUCUGUUUUGGGAAGGAUGGCAUGGUUUCAUAACAAUUUCGGGUCAGUAGUUCAUAUUGCUCUUCUAAAGCUCAUCCCUCAAUUGGUUAUGUGUUCAUUUACAGUUGUCCUCAAAGUUCCCUAUACAUCCAUAAAUGUCUAUUCAGCAAAAUUGGCAGAUAUAAAUUCCCAGUCAUUAAACGUGUUCAAAAACACAUUUUACAAACUAAUCAUGUAUUUCAGAUUAGCUCAUUUUUCCUGAUAAAAUAGAUGCUAGACAUGCACAUUUUAUGCCAUCAUCAUCUCCAUUGAUUCCUGACGGAAAUAGUAGGGAUCCAAUAGUGUGGAAUACAAUUAAAUAAAACAAUUUCAAAUGGAUGGAGGAGGGCAUUUUGUCCUAAUGCGAAUCACUUUAUUCUAGUGAAACCUAUUGCACACAUAUAUUUAUUAGCCAUUCACAUAUCCCCUAGGCACUAAUGUGCCAUGUAAAACAUAGUGAUGGGCUGAGAAGUAUCCCAUGCUAUUGUACUCAAAGGUAAUUAACACCUAAAUCCUGGAAACGAUGCACUGAGUAGGCGGUAAACCAGGUUAGAUAUGAGAGCUGACAACAUAAUCUACUGGGCAGCACGUCUGGGUGGGAACCAUGUUUAUAAACUCCAUUCCAGGCAGCCCUCUCCUGAAAGUCAACUCAGUUUCGCCAGCAUUCAACAUUGAGAGAAAUGCUUGGGAAGAGAGAAUAUUGGUGAAGGUUCCCAAGGCCUUAUUGUAUCGGACCUCCUCCAUGCCUCCACGUGGUUCUGAAAUGCAUUUGGGGAAUCUCCAGCCUUAAAACCUUUACAAUAUCUGAGAAUUUGGGUUACCUCCAUAAGGUGAUGUGAAUUAGAGUCUAGAGUAAGUUAAUGCCAAUACAUCGUAUUUAUAUCAUGAUAUUUGGAUUUGUACAAUCUAUAUGACUGCCUGCCUACUUUUUUGUAGAUCUCAAUAUUUGCAUUUGUUAAUUUUUGAUAGUUAAGUCUUAAGUCAGGAAUUUUGAGUUAAACUUUGAGGUGAGAGGAAAAAUAGGAACUACUUAGCCAAACACGAGCAGAGCCGAGUGUUCUCAAGGCUGACUGUAUAUUAACAUCACCUGAGAGAUUUUCAAAACUGCUGAAUCCUUGGCUCCCUUCCAAACCAAUUAAAUCAGACUUGCUUAAGAGGCUUGGGCGUCAGCAUUUUACAAAGUUAUUCAAAUGUUUCUGAUAUGUAGCUGAAGUUGAGACCCACUGGAAAAAGUCACCCAACAAGUGAGAAGGGGAGCUAUCUCUUGGCUAUGGCAGAGUCUGGGGAAUAGGACAAAAACUGCUUAAAGAGCAAUGCAGUUGCCCCAGGAGCAAUUCUGUGUAAAAGGAAAAGCUGGAGAGCCAAUUAGAACUUGAGGGAAUGAAGCAGGAGGCUUCUAAGAUUAACAGGUGGAGAAGGACUUGAUCUGGCAAGAGGCCGAGGCAAAGUUCCACGGCUGUGAUGUCCAGAGGGUCGUCAUCUCAGACAUAUCCUAUUCUGUUGACUGUAAUCACCAAUCUGCAGAGGAAUCAACAAAUCCUGUAUUAAAGGAGCUUUUGAGGGAGUUCCUGUUGUGGCUCAGUGGAAACAAAUCCAACUAGCAUCUAUGAGGACGCAGGUUCCAUCCUUGGCCUCACUCAGUGGGUUAAGGAUCUGGCCUUGCAGUGAGCUGGGGCUCAGAUUGCAGACAAGGCUUGGAUCUGGCAUUGCUGUGGCUGUGGUGUAGGCCAGUCCGAUUAGACCCCUAGUCUGGGAAACUUUCUAUGCUGUGGGUGUGGUCCAAAAAAAAAAAAGGAGCUUUUGAGCUCUCCAAGCAUUGCUCUUCAGAUGUUAGCCCUGAGGAGAGGUAGGAGAGGAAAAAGGUACAUUCAAUGAGCCACUGUUUAUUAUCCUGUGGGAGAUAUAAAUAAAUACAGGACGUGGCCCCUGCCUCCUAUAAACAUACUUCUGAUGAAUUGGGAAGCUUCUCAUGUUCCUUAUUAUUGCACAUGUUCACUUUCAAGUCAUUUUCAUGCCCUUCUUCUUCAAUACAAUGUAAGAACUAUUUAAACACAGUCAGUGACUAGUUGCCAUGGAGUGGGUCAGAUGUUAAGUGCUGUGAUUUUAGACAAAGGAGAGCUCACUGUGGUCAGGGCUGCCCUGGGAGAAGCCUUCAGAGGGGGCUUAGACCUAAGCUGGGCUUGAUGGCUGAUGUGGCUGUAGAUGAGUGACAGGAGGGUGAUCUUGGUCCUGGGGCUGCAGAUGCCUUUCUCUGGUGUCACUGUUGUCCUUUGGGAUAGUCAGAGACAGGUCUGGUUUGCUGACACUCGGGAGGCCUCAGCUGUUCCAGCAUCUCUUGAAGCGAGGACACCACAUGCGAGCCAGCUUCCACAAAAGGCUCUCCACAUGUCAUUCACAGGCUGUGUGCACCACACACACCUAUCACCAUCACUCCUAGCAGCCUUUACCAGGCCAAAGCAAUCGGCAUUUUAUCUCAAGGAGCACCAAAUCUGAGAAGGUAGUUGGAAAAAGAAUAAAUGAUUUAUUGAUAUUAUGAUAUAUGACAAAGUGACAUUUUAUGUUUCCAGACUUUGUAGGCCACCUGGUGGGCACUUAAAUUCAUUAAAAGCUAAUGUUCUGGCAGAGGUUAGCUGCUAUGAAUGAGACUGAUCAGGAAUGGGAUAAAUGAGAGGGAUCCAGUAUGGGGAGUAACUCGGGGGAGGGGGCACAGGGAGAGGCGGGAUGCCAAGAGGAAGGAGGGGCACUCAAAAGGCAGCGGGAGACAGCCAACAGAUGCUAUCUGUUGGCUCCAUGGUUUUCCUGAAGACUGUCUUUGUUAGGAUGGCCCUGGAGUCUCCCCAGAGCUGCCACUUACCAAGACUGGCUGUGCAUUGGCAUGGCCCACAGAACUACCCACACUCAGCAUCACUGAGAUGGAACCCAGGGAUGUCCAACGCCUAUGUAUUUAUUUAAAGUAUACCAGUGUUGUGGAAAGCUUUAUCCUUUGUUAUUUUUUGGUAUGCCUUCAGCAAUGUUUUAAAUUGAAGUCUGGUUGAUUUACAAUGUUUCAAGUAUACAGCAAAUUGAUUCAGUUUUAUACCUCCACCUAUCUGUCUAUUAUUUUUCAGUCUUUUCCAUUAUAGAUUAUUAGAACAUACUAUUUGAAUAUAUUGCCUGUGCUAUACAGUAGGCUUUUGUUGUUUAUUUUUUAUAUAUGGUAAUAGGUAUCCGUUAAUCCCAAUUCCCAAUUUAUUCCUCUUUGGUAGACGUAAAUUUGUCUUCUGUGAGUCUAUUUCUGUUUUGUAAAUAAGUUCAUAUGCAUCAUUUCUUUUUAGAUGCCACAUGUAAAGGAUAUAUGAUUUUUGCCUUUGACUUACUUCACUUCAUAUGAUAAUCUCUAGGUCCAUCCAGGUUGCUACAAAUGGCAUUAUCUCAUGAUUUUUUUAUGGCUGAGAAACGUACAACUUUUAAAGGCCACAGACAGCACUGAAGUGCAGGCACACGGUGUUGCAGAACAGACAUUGUAGGAAAGGCCUGGGAUGGAUUUUUGGAGGCCUACCCACCUGCAGGGUCAUCUUAGGCACCCUGGAGUCUACAGAGUAAAGAAUCCCAAGGUUCUAGACAGUGGCUAUCAAAACCCAACGUGCAUAAGUAUAGCCUGUUAAGGGAAGGUAUCUGGGUGCCAGACCCUAGGUUUAUGAUUCAGUACAUCUUAGGUUCAGGCCAGGAACCUGUGUCUUUCACAGGCUCCCCAGAUGAUUCUGAUGCAGGUGGUUCAAGGACCACAGUCUGAGAAACACCAUGCUGGGGGUUGCCAGGGCGUGGGUCGUGGACCACCUUGCCACAGGCUGGGUGUCUGCUGACCGGUAGAGAAGCCAGGUGACCCGGCAGGCUGAGUCCUGGAGGAAGACUUCCUUUUUCCAUGUGGGCAGUGCAGAAUGAGCCCUGUUCCUGCCACACAGGACCUGGCCCCCUUGCUGGCAGGCAUUUCUCUUUUCCUCCUCCUCUUUGUAAAGAAGAAAAUAUGUUAGCCUCUCGAUGGAUCAGACUGAUGUUGGAGGGUUGUCGGCUGAGCAGAGGAGAUGGGUUAUGUCACAAACUCAUGGGGGUUUCUCUUGAGUUUUACUUGGUCAUGCUUUCAUUUAGGGUAAUUUGAGUUUCUUUCUAGAAAUAAUUUUUUUUAGUGUCAAGAUAGAUUUCUGGGUAGGCAAUGUUAUUGUUUUUAUUGAAUAUUUCUUUUAAUACCAAUAGUAAAGUGACUUGGGGGUAUAUAUAAAGAACAAAAAGCCAUUUAAAAAUAUCUUGAAAUCUUCAUGACAGGUAAGAAAGGUUUUUUUUCUUAUUUAAUGUCUUAUGUUGUGUAUAUGCAUUGAAUAUACACAACUGUUAUGAGCCUCUGUAAAACCUCUAACAAAGAGAAAAUUAAAGCCCAGUAGAUGGCACUGUUUGCUACUUUUUACAAGUUAAUGCCGCUGAUUCCCCUCACCCCCAAAUCUAUUUGUUUUUACAAUAAUAUAAAUCCAACCUCCAUUUUAAAAAAGCACUUCUUACGAGAAGCCCAAUCAUUAUGUCCUUUUCUGGACCUACACUGAGUAACUCUUGUCACAAUUUAUUAAAUAGAAAAGUACUUAAGGAUUAUUAAUCUUGUUUUGAGUGUAGAAUGCAUUUAACUUGCUCCUUUUCCCUCAGUGCUGCUGAGGCAGCUGUAUUUCUCCUCCCCCACCCGCCCCCAUACACUCCACAGAUGCUCCUUCUUUAAAAAAAUGUAGGUUAAAAAUCAAUUUCAAGCCAGAACUGCACUUGUGCAUAAAUGAAAUUAUGUUUGUAUUUGGAUUAUACCUGGCUGUUCGCUAACAUAAUUUUUUCCAAACAGUAGAAUACAUUUAUGAACAAACCCUUCACUGUGUCCUUUGACACAAGAAAGAGCUGAUGUGUGAUGCAUGUGGGCUGGUUGCUGAGAUCAGAAGGGGCACUGGUGUGGGCUUUGGGGUCCCAGUCCCAACUUUAUUCAUAGGACCCUGGGUCCAGUAUUGAACUUUUCUGAGCAUCAUCGUUGCCAUGUGUACACUUGUGAAAACAGUGUCUACUCCAUAGGGAUAUUAUGAAAAUAAAACUGGAUAAUGUAAACUUUCAGUGCAAUGCAUGAUCCGUAACUGGUACUCAACUAGUGGAAUCUGUUCUUUAGGUUGUUACAUCAAACUUUAUCUUCUAGAAUGGAGCCUGCCUGACACAAAACUUUCUUAAAAAAAAAAAAAAAAA
rnacentral:lncRNA from 1 species